rnacentral:rRNA from 1 species
GACGAACGCUGGCGGCGUGCUUAACACAUGCAAGUCGAGCGAUGAAGUUCCUUCGGGAACGGAUUAGCGGCGGACGGGUGAGUAACACGUGGGUAACCUGCCUCAUAGAGGGGAAUAGCCUUUCGAAAGGAAGAUUAAUACCCCAUAAGAUUGUAGUACCGCAUGGUAUAGCAAUUAAAGUAGUAAUCCGCUAUGAGAUGGACCCGCGUCGCAUUAGCUAGUUGGUGAGGUAACGGCUCACCAAGGCGACGAUGCGUAGCCGACCUGAGAGGGUGAUCGGCCACAUUGGGACUGAGACACGGCCCAGACUCCUACGGGAGGCAGCAGUGGGGAAUAUUGCACAAUGGGGGAAACCCUGAUGCAGCAACGCCGCGUGAGUGAUGACGGUCUUCGGAUUGUAAAACUCUGUCUUCAGGGACGAUAAUGACGGUACCUGAGGAGGAAGCCACGGCUAACUACGUGCCAGUCGCCGCCGUAA